rnacentral:lncRNA from 1 species
GUGAUACGGAAGUGGAACUCUUUGUUAUUUUCCCAGAGUCAGAAGGAAGGCAUAAGCAUCCCACUUGAGGAAAAUAUCAUGCCUAUAAGCCCAGUUUCUCCCAGAUGUUCACUCAGGUCAUUCCUGAUGAGGUUCUCUUUAGACCUGCUGAAAGGAUGGCUUCUAUCUUCAGAUACAAAGUGUUUCUAUUGCUCCUUGCUGCUGCUGUUCUGUGAUCCAGUGAGUGAUGAAUGUGUCCUAAAGAUGGAGAAUCUCUUCCAGCUGCUGGUCAGGCUGGCUUGCACCCUCUUGCUGUAUAAAAUGCAAGUUUCUGUCAUUGAAGUUUAACCAAUAGGAUUUAUGCCAGACCAAGUGUUAGCUGUUGAACUAUCCCUUGUUAGAGCUGAAGUAGUUGCUCUACUCCAUUUUGUCAAUUAAGAUUCUGUAUAUGCUCUUAUUUCUACUACCUCUGAACACUGCCAUUUUUGGCUUUGUUACCUCCUUGGUCUUCUAGUAGACGUGAUCUCCAUUAGAUUUAGGAGCACAAAGUCAGACUCAUGCUUUGUGCAAUGCAAUGACCUUCUGUACACUGCAUUACAUCUCUGCAGUACUGCACUUUCAAAGAGGAUUUAGAUUGAUUCUUGUCUAUUAAGCUCAUAAGAUCUCACUGUUUGUAAACAGUGCUGUUUUAAAGUUGAUUUUUGUUGCAGUUUAAUCUUUGUGAAGCUUUCACGUUUUGAUUGGACUUGUCUAAAUAUUUUUUAUUUUACCAUAAGUUUAAACAAGUACAUCAAGCAGCCUUUCUAUUUGGAUGCAUGUGAUGUUUAUCUUGGGUAUCCCAU